CCCUUAGAUGUCCUGGGCCGCACGCGUGCUACACUGACGCCUACAGCGAGUACUUCCCAGCCCCGAGAGGUGGCUGGUAAUCAGCAAUAGGCGUCGUGAUGGGGAUAGAUCUUUGGAAUUAUGGAUCUUGAACGAGGAAUGCCUAGUAAGCGCAGGUCAUUAGCCUGCGCUGAUUAAGUCCCUGCCCUUUGUACACACCGCCCGUCGCUCCUACCGAUUUCGAGCGGUCCGGUGAAUCUUUCGGACUGCGCGCGGCCUCGUGCCGUGUCGCGGAAAGUCAGGUAAACCUUACCACUUAGAGGAAGGAGAAGUCGUAACA
rnacentral:rRNA from 1 species